AGCGCGUAGGCAACCUGCCCUUAUGCGAAGGGAUAACCCAUCGAAAGGUGGACUAAUACCUUAUAACACAUUGAAUUCGCAUGGGAUUAAUGUCAAAAGUUCGCUUUCGGGCGACCACAUAAGGAUGGGGCCUGCGUUCCAUUAGUUAGUUGGUGAGGUAACGGCUCACCAAGGCGACGAUGGAUAGCUGGUUUGGAGAGUGAUCAGCCACACUGGGACUGAGAUACGGCCCAG
rnacentral:rRNA from 1 species